UAUCUCUCUAUCUCUCUCUCUCUGUGUGAAGAUAUGAUCAUGAAUGAAUAUGUAUAUGAUUAGUUUAACUGUAAAUGCUGAUGAAAAGAUGAAGUUUUGAACUUGAGGUGGUUGAUUAAAAAUCAAGAGUCUGUUGCACAUGGAUCACCCCUUUUCGGCUUCUUUUUUUCUCCCUAUCGGAUCUUUGAUCAGAACUCAGCUGCCUAGUUACAAGUCACUGGUAUCUCUCAUCUGGAUCAUGCUUGUUUCUGGGUUCUUCUAAAGGUUUUUGAUCCAACUUGUCAUCAGCCUACACCACAACAGCAAGCGAGCUAGUUUUAAAGGGCCAGCCAGUUGAGCUGCUGCACGAAAGGAAAGGAAAAGAGAAAGAAAUGCCUCUGUAUGAUUGUAUGCUGCUGAUGAAACCCCAUGUAAGGAAGGAGGCUCUGAUGGACUUGAUUGCUAGAGUAAGCAAACAUGUUUACAGAAGAAAUGGAGUUCUUACUGACAUGAAGUCAUUUGGCACAGUUCAGUUGGGCUAUGGUAUUAAGAAGCUUGAUGGCAGAUAUUAUCAGAUCUUUGAGGAGAAGAAGCAGUAGCAGUUCACCUCCUCAUAAGCCAUAGAUCGUACAAUUUUACCGACACCAACCAACUCAAGUCCUUCGUUCCAGUGAUAAUUUAAUAUGUGAACGAAGCCUUCGUUGGUGUUAUAUGUUAAUUUUUGGCUUAUGUUUCAAAUUUCAAAUUUGGUUUGUAAUUUAAUUAUUAAUUUUUACAUUGAGAUAUAAUUCUUAAGAUUGUAUGUUUGGUUUGGAUGACCAUGUUUUGUAUUUGGAAGUUAAGAUGGCAUGUAGAAAUUAUUUUAGGCCAAAUUUUUAUAGGAAUGUGAAU